rnacentral:rRNA from 1 species
AGAAUCAACGCUGGCGGCGUGCCUAACACAUGCAAGUCGCACGAGAAAGGGUAGCAAUACCUGAGUACAGUGGCGCACGGGUGAGUAACACGUGAAUAAUCUACCUCCGAGUGGGGAAUAACUGAGAGAAAUCUUAGCUAAUACCGCAUAACACUUACGAGUCAAAGCAGCAAUGCGCUUGGAGAGGAGUUCGCGGCAGAUUAGUUAGUUGGCGGGGUAAUGGCCCACCAAGACGAUGAUCUGUAUCC